rnacentral:misc_RNA from 1 species
GAUGAAGAACGCAGUGAAAUGCGAUAAGUAAUGUGAAUUGCAGAAUUCAGUGAAUCAUCGAAUCUUUGAACGCACAUUGCGCCCAUUAGCAUUCUAGUGGGCAUGCCUGUUCGAGCGUCAUUUCAACCCUUAAGCCCUGUUGCUUAGCGUUGGGAGCCUACAGUACUGUAGCUCCCCAAAGUUAGUGGCGGAGUCGGUUUCACACUCUAGACGUAGUAAUUUUUUCUCGUCUGUAGUUAAGCCGGUCCCCUGCCGUAAAACACCCAAUUUAUCAAGGUUGACCUCGGAUCAGGUAGGAAUACCCGCUGAACUUAAGCAUAUCAAUAAGCGGAGGA